AAAAUCUAUGCAAAGUAAGUUUAAGCUUUAAACAUUAUAAAAUGGUCAUAUCUUUUUCUAUUUGAUACAUGCAAAAGAAAGGGAAAUAUAUGGCUAAACUUGUGACGAAUAAAAGUUCUACACACAUUUUAUUAAGCGAUUCUUCAGAACUUUUAUUCAUAUGAAAGCCAAGGGAAACUGGGAAUUGGGGGAAGGGCUCUUUUUCGAGGAGAGACUAGCAGCGUGUCUUGCAUUUACACAGUGGAUUGCAUACAGAGGCAGCUAGAAGUCACGACAGAGUUAUGAGAUGGCAUGCAUCUUGUACCGGAGAUCCAAGGCAUACGGGAAAAGAAAUACCUUAAAGCAACCAACAAUAUAUUGUUUAAACUGAAGCAAACGUUCAAACAUGGCCGCAAAGCUAAAUGUGCGAAUCACAGACCACUAUAUCUAAGGGGAAAUCAGUUUCAGACGCAUGUCGCAGAAUGGCAGCACGACACGUUGAUGUUGUAUUGUUGACUGAUGCCAAUGCUUUGUUAUUUGGAAUGCUUUGUUAUUUGGAAUAAUGACUAACAUGGAUAAUGCUACUAGAGUUAUUGCCGAGGGUCUGUGACCGGAUCAGAAAAUGGUGUCAAAAGUAAUGACCCGGAAUCCUUUAUUUGUGACAUCAAAUACGUUGGCUAUUGAUGCUCUACAAAAGAUGGUCUAAGAACAAAAAGUUUAAUACUGUAAAAGGAUGCGAGAAGAUUUGAAGAAGAAAGAAAGGAAGUUUAAUAUUGUUAUAUGUUGAUCAUUAGAAAAUAAAUAAAUUAGCUAUUAAAUUUAGUUACCACUCGUCCCCGUGAGCAUAACUCAGUUGUCAGGGACAUACAUUGUUAUAUGCAGAGGCCGGAGUUCAAACCCCAAACACCUCACUUAUACGCACCGUAAAGUUUUAUAUAUAUAUAAAUAUAUAUGGGGUUUGCUAGAAUACACCCACUAGUUUUUAUUAAGGUGUGUUUUAGCAAAGAUAUAACUAAAAAGUUGUUAAUUACACCUUAAGAUGAAUGCUUCUAAAACACACAUUCUAAAAUAUAAGUGGGUGUAUGUUAGCAACUCCUAUAGGCAUUUUCUAGGAUACACCCACUUAUUUUUCAGAAGGUAUGUUUUAGCAAGCUAUAACUAAAAAGUAGUUAAAAACACCUUAAGGUGUAGCUUGCUAGAACACUCCCACAAAAAAAAAAAGUAGUGGAUGUGUUCU